rnacentral:rRNA from 1 species
AUUGAACGCUGGCGGCAGGCCUAACACAUGCAAGUCGAGCGGCAUGGGAAAGUAGCUUGCUACUUUGCCGGCGAGCGGCGGACGGGUGAGUAAUGUCUGGGAAACUGCCUGAUGGAGGGGGAUAACUACUGGAAACGGUAGCUAAUACCGCAUAACGUCGCAAGACCAAAUAGGGGGACCUUCGGGCGUCUUGCCUUCAGAGCUGCCCGGAUGGGAUUAGGUAGUAGGUGGGGUAACGGCUCACCUAGGCGACGGUCCCUAGCUGGUCUGAGAGGAUGACCAGCCACACUGGAACUGAGACACGGUCCAGAUUCCUACGGGAGGCAGCAGUGGGGAAUAUUGCACAAUGGGCGCAAGCCUGAUGCAGCCAUGCCGCGUGUAUGAAGAAGGCCUUCGGGUUGUAAAGUACUUUCAGCGGGGAGGAAGGUGUUGAGGUUAAUAACCUCAGCAAUUGACGUUACCCGCAGAAGAAGCACCGGCUAACUCCUUGCCAGCCGCCGCCGUAA